GGGGGAAUGGGGGCACAUACAGAACAUGAAUUCCUAAGGAGUGGUGUUACUGUAAUGAUUAAAAUAUAUACAAAAUACAGGUUAAGAAACAGCUCACACUAAAAUAACAGAGUUUAAAACUUACAUGGCUACUUAAAUUUGCCUAUCUUAUCAGACAAAUAUGGGGAUUUGGUUACACCAUAUGGCCAUAUUGUGUGAAGCCCACCAAUUUGUCACAGUACCCGAAUCACAAUAGGUCC